GGAUAGCUUAGUGGUAGGGUGUGUGUUUAGCAUGCACGAGGUCUUGGGUUCAACCCCCAGGACUUCCA
rnacentral:tRNA from 1 species